rnacentral:rRNA from 1 species
GGAUUAGGCAUGCAAGUCGAACGGGAUCCGGGGGGUAGCAAUACUCUCCGGUGAGAGUGGCGGAAGGGCGAGGAGCACGUGGACAACCUGUCCCGUGGGUGGGGAUACCGUCCCGAAAGGGGCGUUAAUACCGAAUGGGGCGCCGGGCCGCAUGGCCCGGACGCCAAAGGCGGGGACCGCAAGGCCCGCCCCCCCGGGAGGGGUCCGCGCACCAUCAGCUAGACGGCGGGGUAACGGUCCACCGUGGCUUACGGUUAGCUGGUCUGAGAGGACGACCAGCCGCACUGGGACUGAGACACUGCCCAGACUCCUACGGGAGGCUGCAGUCGAGGAUCAUUCGCAAUGGGCGAAAGCCUGACGAUGCGACGCUGCGUGGAGGAUGAAGGCCCUCGGGUCGUAAACUCCUGUCAUGGGGGGCGAGGCGGAGGCGGUCAACAGCCGCCCGAGUUGACGGUACCCCAAGAGGAAGCCACGGCUAACUCUGUGCCAGCAGCCGCGGUAAUA